AUUCGUUGCACUAUCGUUAACUGAAUACAUAGGUUAACGAGGCGAACCGGGGGAACUGAAACAUCUAAGUACCCCGAGGAAAAGAAAUCAACCGAGAUUCCCCCAGUAGCGGCGAGCGAACGGGGAGCAGCCCAGAGUCUGAAUCAGCUUGUGUGUUAGUGGAACGGUCUGGAAAGUCCGACGGUACAGGGUGAUAGUCCCGUACACCAAAAUGCACAGGCUGUGAACUCGAAGAGUAGGGCGGGACACGUGGUAUCCUGUCUGAAUAUGGGGGGACCAUCCUCCAAGGCUAAAUACUCCUGACUGACCGAUAGUGAACCAGUACCGUGAGGGAAAGGCGAAAAGAACCCCGGCGAGGGGAGUGAAAAAGAACCUGAAACCGUGUACGUACAAGCAGUGGGAGCACCUUCGGGUGUGACUGCGUACCUUUUGUAUAAUGGGUCAGCGACUUAUAUUCUGUAGCAAGGUUAACCGUAUAGGGGAGCCGCAGGGAAACCGAGUCUUAACUGGGCGUUAAGUUGCAGGGUAUAGACCCGAAACCCGGUGAUCUAGCCAUGGGCAGGUUGAAGGUUGGGUAACACUAACUGGAGGACCGAACCGACUAAUGUUGAAAAAUUAGCGGAUGACUUGUGGCUGGGGGUGAAAGGCCAAUCAAACCGGGAGAUAGCUGGUUCUCCCCGAAAGCUAUUUAGGUAGCGCCUCGUGAACUCAUCUUCGGGGGUAGAGCACUGUUUCGGCUAGGGGGUCAUCCCGACUUACCAACCCGAUGCAAACUACGAAUACCGAAGAAUGUUAUCACGGGAGACACACGGCGGGUGCUAACGUCCGUCGUGAAGAGGGAAACAACCCAGACCGCCAGCUAAGGUCCCAAAGUCAUGGUUAAGUGGGAAACGAUGUGGGAAGGCACAGACAGCCAGGAUGUUGGCUUAGAAGCAGCCAUCAUUUAAAGAAAGCGUAAUAGCUCACUGGUCGAGUCGGCCUGCGCGGAAGAUGUAACGGGGCUAAACCAUGCACCGAAGCUGCGGCAGCGACACUAUGUGUUGUUGGGUAGGGGAGCGUUCUGUAAGCCUGCGAAGGUGUGCUGUGAGGCAUGCUGGAGGUAUCAGAAGUGCGAAUGCUGACAUAAGUAACGAUAAAGCGGGUGAAAAGCCCGCUCGCCGGAAGACCAAGGGUUCCUGUCCAACGUUAAUCGGGGCAGGGUGAGUCGACCCCUAAGGCGAGGCCGAAAGGCGUAGUCGAUGGGAAACAGGUUAAUAUUCCUGUACUUGGUGUUACUGCGAAGGGGGGACGGAGAAGGCUAUGUUAGCCGGGCGACGGUUGUCCCGGUUUAAGCAUGUAGGCUG
rnacentral:rRNA from 1 species